rfam:Triticum aestivum genome assembly, contig: Triticum_aestivum_CS42_TGACv1_scaffold_404149_5BL
CAACUAUUCCCUCCGUCCAAAAAUACUUGUCCCCGAAAUGAAUGUAUCCAGACUUAUUUUAGUUAUAGAUACAUUCAUUUUAUCUAUUUUUAGGACAAGUAUUUCCGGACGGAUGGAGUAGCUA